rnacentral:rRNA from 1 species
CCUACGGGGGGCAGCAGUGGGGAAUAUUGCACAAUGGGGGAAACCCUGAUGCAGCGACGCCGCGUGAGGGAAGAAGUAAUUCGUUACGUAAAGCUCUAUCAGCAGGGAAGAAAAUGACGGUACCUGAGUAAGAAGCACCGGCUAACUACGUGCCAGCAGCCGCGGUAAUACGUAGGGGGCAAGCGUUAUCCGGAUUUACUGGGUGUAAAGGGAGCGUAGACGGUGCGCCAAGUCUGGGGUGAAAUGCCGGAGGUUAACUGCGGAACUGCCUUUGAAACUGGCGAACUAGAGUGCGGGAGGGGUAAGCGGAAUGCCUGGUGUAGCGGUGAAAUGCGUAGAUAUUAGGAGGAACACCGGUGGCGAAGGCGGCUUACUGGACCGAAACUGACGUUGAGGCACGAAAGCGUGGGGAGCAAACAGGAUUAGAUACCCGGGUAGUC